AUGAGUAACAGUAUGAAAAUUGCAAUUUUAAAAACGGUUACAGAGUGUUUACGAAACAACAAUGUAAACGUGUCCAGCAUUGGAUCUUAUUUGCAUUUGAAAUCACAUAAAACAGAAGGAAUCUACUCUUUCCAGCUUCCAUUAAAAACUAGACAAUACAAUAUACAGAAUGAAGUACAGAAUAUUAGAAAUAAUGAUCGAAAUGGUAUUUUUGACAUCAGUAUACAGAACGAUACAAUCUUUUUCAAUGUUUCCAGAGAUAUAUGUGUUAAGGAAGUUUUGGAACAUAACUGUUCAACAGUAUCGCCUCCCAAUUUCAUAAAUAAUAAAAAAACUAUAAUAGUGGAGUUUAGUUCGCCCAAUAUUGCAAAACCUUUUCACGUAGGACAUUUGAGAUCUACAAUAAUAGGAAAUUACGUUGCUAAUAUCAACAGCUUUGUAAAAAAUAAUGUAAAACGAAUAAACUACUUGGGUGACUGGGGUACGCAAUAUGGUUUAAUUCAAUUGGGAAUCAAUAUGGCAGAUAUUAAUGAAGAUGAAAUGAGAAGAAAUCCUAUAAAAGCCUUAUAUACAGCAUAUAUUACUGCCAACAAAUUGGCUGAAACCGAUUUCUCGAUAUUGGAUCGUGCGAGAAAAAUAUUUAAUGAUUUGGAAAAUGGCACGGGAGUCACAUAUGAACAGUGGAUAGCGUUUAAACAGUACACUGUUGAGGAAUUAACAAAGGUUUAUGGUAGAAUUGGUAUUACAUUCGACGAAUAUCAUUGGGAAUCUAUGUACAAUGCUAAAAAUAUAGAGAAAAUUAUUACGUUGAUGGAGAAAAUGCAGUUAUUGCUAAGGGAUGAACAGAAUAGAAAAGUUGUGAAUUUGGACAAUGAGAAGAGCGUACCUAUAAUCAAGAGCGAUGGUUCCACUUUGUACAUAGCUAGAGAUAUUGCUGCAGCUAUUGAUAGAUUUGAAAAGAAUAACUUUGACUGCAUGUACUAUGUGGUGGAUAAUACACAAGCCAGUCAUUUCUCAAAUUUGUUAGAAAUAUUAAAACGAUUGCAAAUGCCGUGGGCUGAAAGACUGAAACAUGUAAAAUUUGGCCGAUUGCACGGUAUGCGUACAAGAAAGGGUAAUAUGGUGUUUUUAGAAGAUAUCUUGGACAUUACCAGAGAUAUCAUGAAGCAGAAACAAAUCGAUUCGCAUACCACUAAAGUUCGUCUAGAUUCAUUUGAUAAAAGCUCGGAUAUAUUGGGCAUUUCUGCAAUGAUAGUUAAUGACUUAAAGAGAAAACGACAACGAGACUAUACAUUCGAUUGGAAUACAGCAUUUGAUUUGAAAGGGGACACUGGCGUGAAGUUGCAAUACACACAUUGUCGACUCGUCAGCUUGGAACGCACGUGCGGCGCUGUUCUAACUUUGGAAUGUGAACCAAGUCUAUUACAAGAAGAUAUCGUUGAUGAUUUAGUCGUAUUAAUUGCUAAGUUCGAAGAAGUAGUACUGAAAUCAUACGAAGAAUUAGAACCCUGUAUAUUAACAGCAUAUCUUUUCAAUUUAAGUAAUGCAAUUAAUAAAGCUUUCAGUUUGUUGAAAGUAAAGGAUGAACUGCCUGAUCUUGCUAGUCAAAGACUGCUACUAUUUCACGUUGCUAGAAACGUUCUUGCACAAGGUAUGAAAUUACUUGGUCUAAUACCUCUGGAAGAGAUGUGAAGACAAGUGGCCGUGGAAUCCUAAAGAAGAUUCGAAACUCUAGCAUUUAUUUGUCAAAUUGAUCAUAUUGAUCUGUCAAUCUUGAUAAAUAUAUAUAAGAAGCAUGAGAAACAACUUUGUGAAUUCUGAAGCGACCAUAUACUAAUAUGAUGAGCAAUUGCUGAAAGUCAAUAUUGGAAAAGUCGAUUUAAAUAUUAGAUUCCGAGACAUCGUCGAUACUUUCUUGAUAAGGUAAAAUUGAACAAAAAAUAUUGCUUUAUCGAUAGAAAUUAGCUACAGUUACGCAAUUGUCUUUUACUUGUGGACGUCUAUUUACAAUAUAAGAAAAUAUAAUAUGAAUCACAUAAUGCGAAUUGUCGGUUGAAAUAUCAA